CCUACGGGGGGCAGCAGUGAGGAAUAUUGGUCAAUGGACGAGAGUCUGAACCAGCCAAGUAGCGUGAAGGAUGACUGUCCUAUGGGUUGUAAACUUCUUUUAUAUGGGAAUAAAAUGUUCCACGUGUGGGAUUUUGUAUGUACCAUAUGAAUAAGGAUCGGCUAACUCCGUGCCAGCAGCCGCGGUAAUACGGAGGAUCCGAGCGUUAUCCGGAUUUAUUGGGUUUAAAGGGAGCGUAGGUGGAUGGUUAAGUCAGUUGUGAAAGUUUGCGGCUCAACCGUAAAAUUGCAGUUGAAACUGGCAGUCUUGAGUACAGUAGAGGUGGGCGGAAUUCGUGGUGUAGCGGUGAAAUGCUUAGAUAUCACGAAGAACUCCGAUUGCGAAGGCAGUUCACUGGACUGCAACUGACACUGAGGCUCGAAAGUGUGGGUAUCAAACAGGAUUAGAUACCCCUGUAGUC
rnacentral:rRNA from 1 species